CAGCACCUCAAGUGGUCAGGAUGAUUAUUGGGCCUAAAGCAUCCGUAGCCGGCGCUGUAAGUUUUCGGUUAAAUCUGUACGCUCAACGUACAGGCUGCCGGGAAUACUGCAGAGCUAGGGAGUGGGAGAGGUAGACGGUACUCGGUAGGAAGGGGUAAAAUCCUUUGAUCUAUUGAUGACCACCUGUGGCGAAGGCGGUCUACCAGAACACGUCCGACGGUGAGGGAUGAAAGCUGGGGGAGCGAACCGGAUUAGAUACCCGAGUAGUCC
rnacentral:rRNA from 1 species